rnacentral:rRNA from 1 species
AAAGAUUAAGCCAUGCAUGUCUAAGUAUAAGCAAUUAUACCGUGAAACUGCGAAUGGCUCAUUAAAUCAGUUAUCGUUUAUUUGAUAGUACCUUACUACUUGGAUAACCGUGGUAAUUCUAGAGCUAAUACAUGCUUAAAACCCCAACUUCGGAAGGGGUGUAUUUAUUAGAUAAAAAACCAACGCCCUUCGGGGCUUCUUGGUGAUUCAUGAUAACUUUACGGAUCGCAUGGCCUUGCGCCGGCGACGGUUCAUUCAAAUUUCUGCCCUAUCAACUUUCGAUGGUAAGGUAUUGGCUUACCAUGGUUUCAACGGGUAACGGGGAAU